GAACUGCAGGGCGUCGCGACGGCGGAGGAGAUCUAUGCGUUCCUCAAGGCGAGGGGACGCCUCCAUGGCUACCCGCUCUUCACCAAGGUCUACCAGAUCUGCAAAAGGGAGAUCGCGCCCGAGGCCAUCUUCGAGGGCAUCUAGUUUGCUCCUCUUUCCUCUCAAAGGACGACCCUGUACACCACCUCUCACAGACGGACCUCUACACGAGCUCUCCUCCUCUCGACCUGUACAUAUCACCCCUCACCUCACACAUCGAACAUCAUCGACCACUCACACACAUUGCUAUAGACGUGCUCUUUCUCUAUCUCGUUCUGCAGACCCACUCGUGGAGGCUGGAAUGGAAACAAGCGCGACGAGGACAA
rnacentral:misc_RNA from 1 species